AAGAGAAGGGAGUUCGCUCCCGUGGUUUCGGCCCUUACUCUUCACCCUUUGUUUAUAAAUCUCUGUUGCUUUGGCGGGCCAUGGUUUUCCAUGUCGCUUCAUUUCGACAAGUGUCCGCCAAAGGAUUUUAAAAUCUUUAUUUUUGCUGUCCGAAUAACAUAUAAAUUACUA
rnacentral:misc_RNA from 1 species